rnacentral:tRNA from 1 species
UAGAUUGAAGCCCGCUGGAUUGGGUGCCUGGUUGUUAACUGGGCAUUUUACGGGAUCGAGGCCCGUCGGUCUAG